AUUCAACUGAUAAGCCCCAAAUAGGACGAAACGUGCGUCUUGGAU
rnacentral:hammerhead_ribozyme from 1 species